CUGUGAACGUUGUCUCAUACCAGACGGGGUAUGUAGACUUGGAAAUUUGGUGCUCAUACCGGAUAGGGUAUGGUGACGGCCCACUUCACCCUCAUACCGGACAGGGUAUUGAGGUUUAAUGUUUUGACGCUCAUACCAGAUGAGGUAUGAAGACAGCUCUAUAAUUAAGAUUGUUAAGGGAAAAGGGUUCACGUGUAGCGGUGACACCCUUAUUAAUCCUCAUAGAUACUUUUGGGCUGGAGAAAUGAAAAACGG
rnacentral:lncRNA from 1 species